rnacentral:tRNA from 1 species
GGCUAAUUAGUUUACAAUAAAACGGACGUUUUGAAAACGUCAAAAAAGAACUAUAAUCUCUUAUUAGCUG